rnacentral:tRNA from 2 species
GAAAAGGUGGGCUGGCGGCUGCGCUGUCUGGGGUAUAGCGGCCGGACUAUUACACUGAAAGUACGCUAUGGUUCCUUUCGGACCAUUACUC